AUGACGAUGGUGGUCAUGCUACGCCGCCUUGCUCUUUCCUGCUACCUCGCCGCCGCCCUUCUCCUCCUCGUGUUCCUCGACGCGCCGCUCACGGCCGCGCAGCCGCUGCCGUGGCAGCUGUGCAACGCCACCGCGGGGAACUACACGGAGGGCAGCGACUACCAGGCCAACAUACGCGUCCUCGCCAGCGCCUUCCCCAAGAACGCCUCCGCGUCCCCGGCCCUCUUCGCCAAGGGCUCUGUCGGCACGGCGCCGGACGUCGUCUACGCGCUUGCCCUCUGCCGCGGCGACACCAACGCCUCCUCCUGCGCGGCAUGCGUCACCACCGCCUUCCGGAACGCGCAGCAGCUCUGCGCCUUAAACAAGCGUGCCACCAUGUUCGACGACCCCUGCACCCUCCGCUACUCCGACCAGGACUUCCUGGCCAACGUCACCGACAACAGGGGGAGGUCGGGCGCAUUCAAUCCCAACAACGUCAGUGCGGCGUCCGCGGCGGCCUUCGACGCUGCCUCCGGCCGGCUCGUCAACGACACCGCCGACUACGCGGCGGCGGACUCAAGCCGGCGAUUCGGCACGGGGGAGGUGGGGUUCGACCAGACUUACCCCAAGAUUUACUCCCUGGCGCAGUGCACGCCGGACAUGUCGGCGGCUCAAUGCCGGAGCUGCCUCAGGGACAUCAUUGUCCAGUAUACUCCUCGAUAUUUCCUCGGAAAGCCGGGCGGGAGAAUAUUGGGCGUGCGGUGCAGCUUCCGGUUCGAGACGUACUCAUUCUUCGCUGGACGCCCACUGCUGCAACUCCCGGGCGCGCUGUCUCCUGCACCGGCGCCAGAGGCCACCACAGGAGAAGGCAAAAGAAGACAUAGGACAGGAUUGGUCUUGGCCAUUACACUGCCUACCGCUGCUGCACUAGUAUUUCUGAUUUCAGCGUGCGUUUGCUUUUGGAGGAGGAGCAAACUGGCAGCAGAAAGAAGAAAGCCGGCAGUACCAUUUGCAACAGAUUCAACUAAUCAGGAUGACAUCCAAAGCAUCGAUUGCCUCCUUCUUGACUUAUCGACCCUGCGGGCUGCUACAAAUAACUUCGCUGAAAGCAACAAGCUUGGCGAAGGAGGGUUCGGUGCGGUUUACAAGGGUGUCCUUUCUGAAGGUGGCCAGGAAAUAGCAGUGAAGAGGCUCUCGCAGAGCUCCAUGCAAGGAAUAGAAGAGCUGAAAACGGAGCUAGUUCUAGUCGCCAAGCUUCAGCACAAGAAUCUCGUCAGGCUCGUUGGUGUUUGCUUGGAGGAAACGGAGAAACUACUCGUGUAUGAAUACAUGCCGAACCGGAGCCUCGACACUGUUCUCUUCGAUGCCGAGAAUAGGGGAGACCUGGACUGGGGGAAGAGGCUGAAGAUCGUGAACGGGGUUGCUCGGGGCUUGCAGUACCUUCACGAAGACUCACAGCCAAGGAUCAUCCACCGGGACCUCAAAGCGAGCAACGUGCUGCUGGACUCGGAUUGGAACCCUAAAAUUUCAGACUUCGGUUUGGCGAAACUGUUCGGUUGGGACCAGUCGCAGGCCGUCACCAGCCACAUCGCUGGAACAUAUGGAUACAUGUCGCCGGAGUACGCGAUGCGCGGGCAGUAUUCGGUCAAGUCGGACGCCUACAGUUUCGGCGUUCUGGUCUUGGAGAUUAUCACGGGAAGGAAGAAUAGCAGCUUUGCCAACUCGGAGCAAUCCAUUGACCUCUCAAGCCUCGUAUGGGAGCACUGGACCAAGGGAACGGUCGAGGAGCUGCUGGAUCCGUCCUUGGGAGGCCGUUCUCCGGGAGACCAUUUGCUGAAGCUGAUUAAUAUUGGGCUGCUGUGUGUCCAAGACAACCCGGCGGACAGGCCGACCAUGUCGACAGUCAACGUCAUGCUCAGCAGCAACACAGUAUCUCUUCAGGCGCCGUCCAGGCCAACAUUCUGCAUCGACGAGAUGGAGGGUUUCUCGGGCAUGUACUCUACCGAGGGUAGCAAGCCCGAGGGGGUGUCAGUGAACGAGGUGUCACUCACGGAGCUCGAACCUAGAUGA
rnacentral:rRNA from 1 species